AUUUCUGACUUAGUCUUCGAGCAUCUUCCUAUUAUGAUACUCUUCUCCUUCUAUUGCAAUAACCCCCUUAAAGAAAUCCUUCAUACUAAUGUCCAGAUUGCAUUUUUUUUCUUUGACAUUGAUGAUGCUGUAACUCUGCCCCCAGGACGUUGCUUUCUUCACCCAGGGGUCAAUGCCAUCUUAGCAGAUGCUGAGUCCUUUCCCGGCUGGGAGGUCGGGAUCCACAGCGGCAUCCCACUGAAGGACACUGAAACAACUGACCUUCGCCUGCACAGCAAACAGAUAGUAAACUAGCCUUCUACUAGGGAUAUCACUGAGAAAAUGCUGGCCCUCAGGUCUGUUUCACUCAGCCAUCUCCUGUUUGAAUUAUUCCUUAUCUCUGAAUUAUUCCUGGAGAGUCUCUCUGAGCCUGCCUUGAACAAGGAGAGGGACUGACAAGGCUGAUGAAACUUUGUGCUUCACACGAGUUCAGGCUGCUUUGCUGAAGACCACUAGGUCCCAACUCUAUGUACACUUUAGCUUGUUUACUUCAUCUGAGACCCAGAACCCCAAGCCCAUGUGCCUGAGCACAAACCAACUUUUCUGCCUCACCUUUUCUAUUAGUACAAUAUUUGAUGCAGUUCAUUAAGUUCCAAGGCCCCUCCCACACACCAGCUAUUGGCAUGACAUCAUUCUUGUGCUUUCCACAAACACCUAUCCCAGGGUCUCUGCUUACAGAAGCUUUGUUCCCACUCCCCUUGCCUGAAACUGUUUUGGCUCGGGCUUUGAGCAUCUCUCUGUAAUAGUCUUGUUCAAUAACGUCUUUCUUUACUCGGGUCCAGACUUAACUUUUUUUU